UACACAAUUAUUUUAAAUCAGUCUGAACUAAAUCCAUACAACCUUAAAAGAGCUCAAUUCAUUUGUGUCGAAACAACAAAAAAUAAUGAUUCAAGUCAAACUACUACUUUUGCGCAUGCGCUAAUGACAGGAAAUCCACGUGACCUCGUCAGUUAUCGCGGGCGCCAUUAUGUGGUGGAGUCCAGUCCAUGGUGGAAUGCUGUAGAAUUGGUUUUUACAAGAGCUCAUUAAAUGAUAUCCUAUACUUGGGUUAUAGUCUACUUUUUCACAUGGUUUACAAGAGCAAUAAACAGCAUCCCAUGCUUGGGUUUUAGUAAACUUUUUCAUGUGGUAAGCUGUAUUAGUGAUGUUCUUAAAGGGUUAGUUCAGCCAAAAAUGAAAAUGAUGUCAUUAAUUACUUACCCUCAUGUCGUCCCAAAUCCGGAAGACUUUCGUUCAUCUUUGGAACACAAAUGAAGAUCUUUUUGAUGAUUUCUGAAAGAUUUCUGUCCUUUCAUGAACAGCGACACA